GGCGAACGCUGGCGGCGUGCCUAAUACAUGCAAGUUGAGCGCUGAAGGUUGGUCCUUGUACCAACUGGAUGAGCAGCGCACGGGUGAGUAACGCGUGGGGAAUCUGCCUUUGAGCGGGGGACAACAUUUGGAAACGAAUGCUAAUACCGCAUAAAAACUUUAAACACAAGUUUUAAGUUUGAAAGAUGCAAUUGCAUCACUCAAAGAUGAUCCCGCGUUGUAUUAGCUAGUUGGUGAGGUAAAGGCUCACCAAGGCGAUGAUACAUAGCCGACCUGAGAGGGUGAGCGGCCACAUUGGGACUGAGACACGGCCCAAACUCCUACGGGAGGCAGCAGUAGGGAAUCUUCGGCAAUGGACGAAAGUCUGACCGAGCAACGCCGCGUGAGUGAAGAAGGUUUUCGGAUCGUAAAACUCUGUUGGUAGAGAAGAACGUUGGUGAGAGUGGAAAGCUCAUCAAGUGACGGUAACUACACAGAAAGGGACGGCUAACUACGUG
rnacentral:rRNA from 1 species